UCCACCUCCAUCACUCUUCCUCCAUCACUCUCUCCUCCUCUUCUCUCUGUGUUUUCAUUUGUUGUAUCAGUCUGUGUUGUGGUUCUACUGGUGUUACUGGUUCUGCUGGUGAGACAAUGUGUUCACAGGAAACCUGAAGCAGAUCAACAAGCUGGAGAAGAUGACAUCAUCACACGCGUCAUGUACUAUGCUGUCAAAAUACAAAGUAGAGCUGCAGUCCAUUCAGCAGUGAGAACUUACCAACCAGAAACCAUCUGAACAAAGAAGGCCCAGACUAAACCAGAGCCAGACGUCGUCUACUCUUCACUGAAGUAGUCCACCAGUCCAACCACUGACAUCCAGCUGCUGGUCUCUAACUGGUUCCCCAGCACCUCAGACCAAAGGACAUCCACAUGUUCAAAAGACUUUCUGUGUAUUUUAUGUGUUUCUUUGGCUUAUUUAGACUCACAUACUUCAAAAAUAAUAUACAUAUCAUAUACAUCUUAAUUGAUAUAAGUAGCUAAAAUCAGCAAUGAUAAUAAAAGUAUGCUAAUAUGUUUAAUGCUUACCAUAAGGUCACCUUGCUUUUGUAAUGCUGGUAGUGGUUUCAUUUGUUUGCAUCAUUAAUAAAUGUACAUUUGGUCUGACUUUUUUGUAAUGCCUAAAACAAACAAUUAGUAAUAAAUCCCCAAAACAAACAGUCCCAGCUUAAAGCCACCAUCUUGCCAGGGUCUCUGUUUGUGGAGUUUGCAUGUUCUAACCAUGCCGGUGUGGGUUCUGUCCGGGUACUCCGACUUCCUCCCACAGUCCAAAGACAUGCAGUUAGUACGAUUAGCUUAAUUGGUGAUUCUAUAUUGCCCAUAGAUGUGAAUUUGAGUGUGAACCGUUAUCUUUAUUUCUGUGUUGGCAGAGUGGGAACCUAUCCUGAGUGUACCCCACCUCUCACACUGUGGGAGCUGGGAUAGCCUCCAGUUCAUGCAUGACCUUGAUAAGCCGAAGUGGAUGGAUGGAUAGAUUUCAGGCUAACCACGCGUGCUUCAGUCACUUCCAAACAAUUCUUAUAUAAUCCCAAUUCAUAACAACAGUCUGGGAAUUUCCUCUCAGGGAAUUUCAUCAUAGCUCUGGUCCGUAUGUGCCUAGGCCUUUUUCAAAGUAAAAGGGGUUUCAAAGUAAAAGUAAAAGCCUUCUUGAUUUGUGACAAUUUUUUACAAUGUUGUUUUGAAAAAGAAUGUUGUGGUCUUACUGUUCACUGCACAUCUUAGAUGUGUUCCUUGUGCUCUGGAAUAAACUGUGGAAGCAUCUGUGAUGACCUGCUUAUCUGCUUGUAAAC